rnacentral:rRNA from 1 species
GAUGAACGCUAGCGGCAGGCUUAAUACAUGCAAGUCGUGGGGCAGCAGGACGGUAGCAAUACCGUUGCUGGCGACCGGCAAACGGGUGCGGAACACGUACACAACCUUCCUUCAAGUGGGGAAUAGCCCGGGGAAACCCGGAUUAAUACCCCGUAAUAUAAUAGAGUAGCAUCGCUUUAUUAUUAUAGCAGCAAUGUGCUUGAUGAUGGGUGUGCGCCUGAUUAGGUAGUUGGCGGGGUAAUGGCCCACCAAGCCUUCGAUCAGUAACUGGUGUGAGAGCACGACCAGUCACACGGGCACUGAGACACGGGCCCGACUCCUACGGGAGGCAGCAGUAAGGAAUAUUGGUCAAUGGACGAAAGUCUGAACCAGCCAUGCCGCGUGGAGGAUGAAGGUCCUCUGGAUUGUAAACUUCUUUUAUCUGGGAAGAAAUCCAUAUUUUCUAAUGUGGUUGACGGUACCAGAUGAAUAAGCACCGGCUAACUCCGUGCCAGC